CGGAAGCUGAAGGGCCCCACUUUACCCAAGUCACUCCCAAAGGAAAUAACAGUUUCAGCUCCCUGCGGGCUGAGUCUUGAGUCUGCCAUCCUCUGCAACUGCAUUGAGUCGGUGCCAGUGACCACCAUGACACAAAGAGUCUGCCAUUCCACUGCACUUGGAUCCAGUCCAGCAAGCAUGCACCCUGACAGAAAAAACAUCUUACCUUGGCCCUUUUCAACUCACGGGAAUGAACAAUGACAUUCCCAUCAUCAGAUGCUGUCUGGCCUGCUGAGUUCCUCAAGCAUUUUAGGUGUGUUGCUUGGAUUUCCAGCAUCUGAAGAUUUUCUCUUUUUUGUGACACCCAUGGAUGUCGGUCUGUCCCGGGUCAGUGGUUCAUGGGAUCAGAUCACCGUGCAAGCAGUUGGCACAAGAAUUCCUGUGAGCCAGUGAGUCAACGUCCAGAGUUUAG